rnacentral:rRNA from 1 species
UACGUAGGUGGCGAGCGUUGUCCGGAUUUAUUGGGCGUAACGGGCGCGCAGGUGGUGUGGUGGGUCCGUCGUGAAAUCUCCUGGCUCAACUGGGAGGGUGCGGCGGAGACCGCCAGACUGGAGGCACGCAGAGGCCGGUGGAAUUCCCGGUGUAGUGGUGAAAUGCGUAGAGAUCGGGAGGAACACCAGUGGCGAAGGCGGCCGGCUGGGGGUGACCUGACGCUGAGGCGCGAAAGCGUGGGGAGCGAACCGG